GCUGCGAUAGCUUAGUUGGGAGAGCGUCAGAAUGAAGGGAAAGUGUAUUUCAGGAAUCUAAAGGUCGCUGGUUCAAUCCAGGCUUGCGGCA
rnacentral:tRNA from 1 species